UCUGUUCAGUGUUGUGUUAGGGAGGAUCAGCCAGAGAAUUACCAUUAGACAAACUGGGGACAAUCUUCUACAACAGGCGUGUCAAACUUGUGGCCCUGCAGCCCAGAUGCAUCAUGCGCUGGCCACACCCAUCCAUUUUAGCAAAGGGGAAAAAAGUUGCGGUGACGACAAUGUGACGCCGCCAAUGGAAGACACUUUUGCAGUGUAAGAUUGUCUUCAUAGUCCUUCCCAUGGAUUUUAAGUUCUUGUUGAGAUGUCAAAGGCAAGAGUGCUCUUUAUGCAACUCAGAGCUGCUCAUCUCACUGAAAGCAAUUCUGGAUAGCAACCUGGAAGUGCCUUGAAAGUUAUGCAGAUGAAGGAGAAGCUGUGAAUAGCAACUGGAAUGAAGAGAAGGACUCCAAGAAAAAGAUAAAUUCAAGGAGAUAAAGCUCCAUAAAAUGUAAAACAAA